CUGACCGGCCGCCAUCUUGCUACAGUUAACAGUUACUCUGAUUCGCGUUAUGGUAGCUGUUGUAAGAAGUACCUGACUAUGCCGGACUUUUGUGCAGCCUACGGAUGCUCUAAUCACCGUAGUCUGCAAACAAGAACCCGUGGGAUCACCUUUCAUGUGUUUCCCAAAACCGAAGAGAGGAGGAGGCAGUGGGAACUCGUCCAAAGAAGGGACGGUUUUGUUUCCUGUGACAGGACACUGCUCUGCAGUGAGCACUUCAGGAGUGAGGAAUUUGACCGGACAGGGCAGACUAAUGGCGAAUCGCUACCACUAGGAGUAUAUAUCGCCACCUACUAUGUAUUUAUUAAAUCUUCAUGUUCCAUGAGACGCAGCACUAUGUUCCCCACAUAUGUUUAUGUUUGCUCAGUCUAAUAAAUCC